GUUCCUGGGAGCGGGGCCCUGCCGGCCGCUCGCCGCCGGCCUGCGAUUCAUGGUGUCAGCGUAAAGCCAGACACACUUUCCUGCUAAAUUGAUCUCUCAGUGUAAAACAUCUAAACAUCAAGGUCUGUCUGAGGCCCUUAUUCCCACCUCUUUGACUCCCACAGGACCCUCCAGUUCACUUUUCAGACAGAAGAGCUGCCUGAACCUAUUCUCCGUGCAGGCGAUGACUGAGCCAAGGGCCCAGGCCGUGUAAGGGGAGCUCGCUGUGGCCACACUGACUGGUCCCAGUUCUGCAGAACCACUACCUGCCCUUGCACCGACAGACAGCACCUCCCCAGACUGACCGGCAGCUCUCCAGCUAACCCAGAAAGGAUACAUUCCGUUUCCACUCUGCACAGUAUUUCACUGCACUCUUAACUGCACCUAUAGCCGUUUUUAAGCUGACAUCUGGACAAAACACAGCAUCAGCUCUCUUAACCAUGUGACCCAUGUACUAAUUUAUGUAGCUGACUGCCUCUUCAGGAAACAUCACUGAAAAUGGGCACCAGAUGCAAGCACCACCUUUAGGUUUGAAGCAGCCUUUUAAAUAAACCUCAACUACACAGUGUCUGCAAGCUUCUUACUGUAAACAAAGUGGCCUAAGGAUUUGGGCUUGGAUAUAAAAAUUGUCAUUAUUUUCAUUCCUUGACCUAAUAAAAGUAUACAUCUGCCAAGCCCUUCA